GCCCGAGUGUUGGAAUGGCAGACAAGUUAGUCUCAAAAACUAAUGAGGGCAACCUCGUGUGAGUUCGACUCUCACCUCGGGCA
rnacentral:tRNA from 1 species